rnacentral:rRNA from 1 species
GAUGAACGCUAGCGGGAGGCUUAACACAUGCAAGUCGAGGGGCAGCACGGGGUAGCAAUACUCUGGUGGCGACCGGCGCACGGGUGAGUAACGCGUAUGUAACCUACCCUGUACAGGGGGAUAGCCCGGAGAAAUUCGGAUUAAUACCCCAUAAUUAUAUUGGAAGGCAUCUUUUGAUAUUUAAAGUUUCGACGGUAGGGGAUGGGCAUGCGUGACAUUAGCUAGUUGGUAGGGUAACGGCCUACCAAGGCUACGAUGUCUAGGGGUCCUGAGAGGGUGAUCCCCCACACUGGUACUGAGACACGGACCAGACUCCUACGGGAGGCAGCAGUGAGGAAUAUUGGUCAAUGGGCGCAAGCCUGAACCAGCCAUCCCGCGUGCAGGAAGAAGGCGCUAUGCGUCGUAAACUGCUUUUCCAGGGGAAGAAAACCCGAUACGUGUAUUGGCUUGCCGGUACCCUGGGAAUAAGCAUCGGCUAACUCCGUGCCAGCAGCCGCGGUGAUACGGAGGAUGCGAGCGUUAUCCGGAUUUAUUGGGUUUAAAGGGUGCGUAGGCGGAUUAAUAAGUCAGUGGUGAAAACCUUCAGCUUAACUGGAGACUUGCCAUUGAUACUGUUAGUCUUGAGUACGGUCAAGGUAGGCGGAAUGUGUAAUGUAGCGGUGAAAUGCUUAGAUAUUACACAGAACACCGAUUGCGAAGGCAGCUUACUGGGCCAUUACUGACGCUGAUGCACGAAAGCGUGGGGAGCGAACAGGAUUAGAUACCCUGGUAGUCCACGCCGUAAACGAUGAUCACUCGCUGUUAGCGAUACACAGUUAGCGGCUAAGCAAAAGCAUUAAGUGAUCCACCUGGGGAGUACGGCCGCAAGGCUG